rnacentral:misc_RNA from 1 species
AAACUACGAUAAGUAGGCUGAAUUGCAGACGCUUUGAACGCCAAACUUUCGAACGCACAUUGCGCCGUAGGAGUCCUACCCUACGGCACAUCGGGUUGAGGAUCAUUUUCAAAAACUGCAGGACUGUAGUCGUUAGUAGAACUAGAUGGUGAAUCAUAAGUCCAAGCUCCGUCUCUGGGCGGAUGUGGUCUGCAAUAAUGUAAGAGUACCUUGCGUUGUGCCUUAACGGCAAUCGUGAUGACCUACCACAUUGAUGAUCUAUUAGCCGAGGCAAUAGAUCCCGGUCCCGGUUAUUAUAUGACUUUGUCAUACUCGAUUUGUCAUACUCCGUGGAUGACUGAGACUUCGGUUACGAGAGCUUUCGUUCUUCCGACCUCCACUCAAGUGUGAUUACCCGCUGAACUUAAGC